rnacentral:lncRNA from 1 species
AAGGUCAAUUAUUUACAUCUCUAGCCAUUAAUUUUUCUAAUCUUAUCUAUCGAUCAAUUAAUCAAUCAGAACUAGUUGGAACUGAAUUUCUGAAGUUGGGAUUGAAUAUUCUUGUGUCAUGAUCAAUUAAACAGACCAGAUACUCUGGAGUUGGAGCAGCUAUCGAAUACGCUGUUCUCCACCUUAAGGUAGAGAACAUUGUUGUCAUUGGCCACAGCGCCUGUGGAGGUAUCAAAGGUCUCAUGUCUCUACCUGCAGAUGGUUCUGAAUCAACGUACGUACCUUUAAUCUUUUUCUACAAUUAUAUAUAUAUGUAUAAACAUUUUUUGUUAUGUCACUGAUAUAUAUGAUACACGAAUUAAAUUAAUCUAAUAACGCAGUGCCUUUAUUGAGGAUUGGGUGAAAAUUGGUUUACCUGCCAAGGCCAAGGUGCAGGGUGAACACGUGGAUAAAUGUUUUGCAGAUCAAUGCACAGCUUGUGAGAAGGUAACUUUAAUUAUUUUGGGAUAAUUUGUGAUAACGUCACAACAAGUCGCAAAAGCAGCCACUAAUGCUCGCAUUAGGGUAGACUGCUUACAUCAUACCCUUUAGGUGUGGCCGUUUCCCAUACCCUGCAUAAACGCUAGAUGCUCUAUGCAUCGGGUUGUCAUUUUUUUUUCUUUUUCCUUUUUUGAAUAUUUGUUAUAACUGAUUAUGAAAAUGAAAUUGAAAAAAAUUGCAGGAAG